rnacentral:lncRNA from 1 species
UGAGCACCAGUUUUCAGUCUGGUCGGGCAUGCGCUCCCAAGCUCCCAGUCUCAGUCCAGUUCCAGUGAGCACUCCGGAGCUCCGGUUUUCACUCUGGUCGUGCACGUUCCCAGGCUCCCGGUCUUAGUCUCCUUUCUCUGUGGCUACCGGUUCACAAGUCCGCCUGCUCCCCCGUGCAGGUGGCUACUGCUUCCCGGCGCCCGAGCACGGCAGCUCCCUCCCCCUUCCAUUUAUCUUCCGAUAUCUGUGCGCAGUUUCACGGCUCCCCGCUUCAUACCUCAAUGCUCAGCGCUGGAGACGUUCGUUUGUAGAGAUCCAGAUGUAUCUUCCUGCGUCUCAGGUUGAUUUCUUGGGUGUUCAGGAUGGUUUGGGAGAUAUCCAGCUCGAUUCAGGGGACCAGCUUAGAAAAGGUCCCCUACUCCUCCGCCAGCUUUUUUUCCUCCUUUAUACCAUUUUAAAAGCACACAAAACAAUCCCAUAGAUUAUUUAUGGAUGCGUAAAUAAAUAGUGAAAAUAUCACAAUGUGGAUGGGAAGUGUAUCAGUCAGGGUCCAGCCAGGAGAACAGAAUGCACUCUAAGCUUGUUGAACAUUGGAUAUUUAAUUCAAAGUAUUGGCUACCCGGCACUGGAAGAGCUGGGAUAUGAAAUGGGAGAAGAGCCGGUGAGGUGACUCAGGAGUUAACAGCCGCAGGAAAGGACUCGGUCCUUGCGAUGGAGCACACAGGGGGAAGGGAGGCUCCUAAUUCCAGCCGGGGCAUCUUCAGCUGAGAGAGAAAGAAUCAAAAUGGAGGCUGCUCAGCAUGAGCUGGGACCACAGAGGAAACUGGCGUGCUUUUGGAGAUGCCACUCCAGGCAGAAGAAGGAGAAACACCUGGCUUCUCCUUUCCUCCAGCCCUCCAAUCAUCUGACCGUAAUUUCCCUUGACCGAACCCAGCAGAAGUGGCUGGGAAGCCUGAGAAAUGUAGUCCGGCGGCUCCUGCCCCCAUGAGGACUGGAAGAAGAUUCUGGUCUGAAAGCACCCUUUUUACCAGACUCGCCUUGGCCACCGCACUUGGGAUCAUGCACAAGGAGCCAGCUGCUGAGUGGGGAUGUGUGUGUUUACUACCUGGGGCAUUGAGGGUGACUGGGGCCCAUGGGGCGAUCCAGGUGAGAUUCUCCUCCCAGCAGCUUGUGAGUGGGCUUCCUGCUGGAGUCCUGAGUGCAGUCAAGGCUUUGGUAUUUUAUCUGCCCCUCUCCCCAUAUCCUGCUCCCUGCCCCCCAGUCACGGAGGACCCCACCAAUACUCUGGGUGCUGCUGGAGAGAAAUGGGUUUCUCCAGCAUCUUCCCGCACAGCUGGGGCCAGUUCUGUCCCACACUGUGCUGUUUUGGGGAAGGGUGGUGCUGGCAAAGUGCCCCCUUCUCUCGCCACUGUGAACACUCUUUUUUUUUUCCGCUCCAAAGGCGUGCUGGAAUCUCCCCUCAGGAAGGCUGG